rnacentral:lncRNA from 1 species
UUUUUUUUUUUUUUUUUUUUUUAACCAACCUACCAAAGCAAAGGCAGGCUGCAGAUGGUGAAAACUGAGUUGGGAAAACUGCACAGAUAUUUUCCCAAAACGUUCUCAGCGAUGCUGCAAAUGCCAUUCUGGGUAGCCGAGAGGAAAAGACAGCAAGCAUCAUCUUGCCAGGGGCAGAACCUAUUCCCAAGCCACUUUGAGAGCAGGAGUUGAACAAAUAUGAUUUAGAUGUUUCCCCCGCCCUGGAAACAUGGUCUUGGGUUAACCGGUCCUUGGACAAAUUUAAGAACAGUGUCUCCUACCAGGGAAAUUAUCUCAUGCAAGAAAAAAAGUUCCCUUAAGCAUCAAAUUAUUUUUCCUUAACUUUCUUUUAGAAAGUUUCCUUUUCAAAGUUUAGGAGGUUACACAGCAUGUUAAACUCUUGACGAGAUCUAAGGCAGAGGAGCGAGGAGGUUCGCUGCUGCCAGCCUUCCAAGAGAACCCAGUCAUUAAGGAGCCCCAACUGUCACCAAUCAUACGGAUCCCCAUGUGGGACACACUUUAGCAUGAACACAACCUUGCCUCGGAAAGCAUACGUGGGAAAAUAUGCCAGGGGGGUAGCUCCCCAAUUCUCCUGCCCAAAGAUGUUUGCCAUAGACUACGCUGACUGGCCCAUUCAGGAGCCCCUCGGGUUUCCGCUGGACCUACCCUUCUGAUUUGAGAUCAUCCACGUGUUUUCCCACCUCCGGAGGCUUUUAUUUUCUGCUUCCUCCCUUCUUAGUACAGUGCCAAUCACUGCUCUCCCCCGCCGCCCCCCUCCCCAAAGGCUCUCUGAGGCUGCUCCCUUUGUGAUUGGCAUCUCAUUAAUGAAGAAGGGCUGGUGUCUCUCAUUACAGUUAGAGUGAGUGAGAGGACCUCAGAACUAAUUUACUUGCUCUCACUAGGGAAGACACUUGCCUCCAUCAAGAACUUCACUUUCCUGCUGCCUGUGGCAAUAAAAGAACCCGUUUUGUUUUAACAUUAAUAAGGAAAUUCCACUCAUUGAUAAAGCUCGGCUUCGACGCCCCUGCUCACAAUGAAAUACCUUCCUUGCCAACCACAUUGCUUUAUGAUCGUGCCCCUUUACCACAUUGUACUUGAAAUGCCUUGUCAUUUAAGAAACCAUAAAAACGACGUCUUUAAAAAUGGGUUCAUCAUUUAGCUGGAGAUGGCUUCUGUGCCUGGAACCAGAAGCCUGUCCUCUCGGUGGUAUGCCUCCACAAAAGGAAGCGAGCUACCACAAAGGACAGCAUCAUGUGUUGCCUUCAUUGCUAUUGAAUCGGGAAGUUGGUGCCCAGUUUCAACAUGGAUGACAAAGUAGUGGGAAUCUGAAAUGCCUACAGUAGAAGUAAGGGUGUCUUUAUAUUGGGAAUAUCCUCGAUCCCAGGGCCCAUUUCUAAUUCCCCCUUCUCUCUUUCCCUGAUACAGGCUAUUUUUGAACGAGAAGGACUUUGGCUCAAAUCAACAGUUUGGUUUCUUACUGUUUACAUCUAUGAGUCAAAGUAGCUUGCUCCCAGGAUCCCCCACCAAACCGAAUGAAAAUAAAUUCAAUGUGUGCCCACUGA